GACCGGCGCACGGGUGCGUGACGCGCAUGCAAUCUACCUUUCGCAGAGGGAUAGCCCAGAGAAAUUUGGAUUAAUACCUCAUAGUAUAGCAGUUUCGCAUGAAACCACUAUUAAAGUCACAACGGUGAAAGAUGAGCAUGCGUCCCAUUAGCUAGAUGGUAAGGUAACGGCUUACCAUGGCAACGAUGGGUAGGGGUCCUGAGAGGGAGAUCCCCCACACUGGUACUGAGACACGGACCAGACUCCUACGGGAGGCAGCAGUGAGGAAUAUUGGACAAUGGGCGCAAGCCUGAUCCAGCCAUGCCGCGUGCAGGAUGACGGUCCUAUGGAUUGUAAACUGCUUUUGUACAGGAAGAAACACUCCCUCGUGAGGGAGCUUGACGGUACUGUAAGAAUAAGGAUCGGCUAACUCCGUGCCAGCAGCCGCGGUAAUACGGAGGAUCCAAGCGUUAUCCGGAAUCAUUGGGUUUAAAGGGUCCGUAGGCGGUUUAGUAAGUCAGUGGUGAAAGCCCAUCGCUCAACGGUGGAACGGCCAUUGAUACUGCUAAACUUGAAUUAUUAGGAAGUAACUAUAAUAUGUAGUGUAGCGGUGAAAUGCUUAGAGAUUACAUGGAAUACCAAUUGCGAAGGCAGGUUACUACUAAUGGAUUGACGCU
rnacentral:rRNA from 1 species